UUCGAGUGGCGGACGGGUGAGUAACGCGUGGGUAACCUGCCUUACACAGGGGGAUAACACCUGGAAACAGGUGCUAAUACCGCAUAAGCGCACAGGGCCGCAUGGCCCGGUGUGAAAAACUCCGGUGGUGUAAGAUGGACCCGCGUCUGAUUAGCUUGUUGGCGGGGUAACGGCCCACCAAGGCGACGAUUGGUAGCCGGACUGAGAGGUUGAACGGCCACAUUGGGACUGAGACACGGCCCAGACUCCUACGGGAGGCAGCAG
rnacentral:rRNA from 1 species